rnacentral:rRNA from 1 species
UACUGGGUGUAAAGCGCACGCAGGCGGUCUGUCAAGUCGGAUGUGAAAUCCCCGGGCUCAACCUGGGAACUGCAUUCGAAACUGGCAGGCUUGAGUCUUGUAGAGGGGGGUAGAAUUCCAGGUGUAGCGGUGAAAUGCGUAGAGAUCUGGAGGAAUACCGGUGGCGAAGGCGGCCCCCUGGACAAAGACUGACGCUCAGGUGCGAAAGCGUGGGGAGCAAACAGGAUUAGAUACCCUAGUA